UAAAAUCAAAGCCCAAGGCCUCGGUAUUUA
rnacentral:piRNA from 1 species